GAUGAACGCUGACAGAAUGCUUAACACAUGCAAGUCUUUGGCGAAGCUGUGCUUGCACAGCCUAGCCAAGGCGGACGGGUGAGCAACGCGUAAGGAACUUGCCCUGCAGUCAGGGAUAACAGACGGAAACGACUGAUAAGACCUGGUAAAGUCAGGCGGACUCAUGUCCAGCCUGAUGAAAAGAGAUGCUGCAGGAGAGCCUUGCGUCCUAUUAGCUUGUUGGUGGGGUAACGGCCCACCAAGGCGAUGAUAGGUAGCCGGCCUGAGAGGGUGGACGGCCACAAGGGGACUGAGAUACGGCCAUUACUCCUACGGGAGGCAGCAGUGGGGAAUAUUGGACAAGGGGGGCAACCCUGAUCCAGCAAUUCUGUGUGCACGAUGAAGGUUUUCGGAUUGUAAAGUGCUUUCAGCAGGGAAGAAAAAAAUGACGGUACCUGCAGAAGAAGCGACGGCUAAAUACGUG
rnacentral:rRNA from 1 species